AAAUUGAAGAGUUUGAUCAUGGCUCAGAUUGAACGCUGGCGGCAGGCCUAACACAUGCAAGUCGAACGGUAACAGGAAACAGCUUGCUGUUUCGCUGACGAGUGGCGGACGGGUGAGUAAUGUCUGGGAAACUGCCCGAU
rnacentral:rRNA from 1 species